rnacentral:rRNA from 1 species
CCUACGGGUGGCAGCAGUGGGGAAUAUUGGGCAAUGGGCGCAAGCCUGACCCAGCAACGCCGCGUGAAGGAAGAAGGCUUUCGGGUUGUAAACUUCUUUUGUCAGGGAUGCAGCAAGUGACGGUACCUGACGAAUAAGCCACGGCGAACUACGUGCCAGCAGCCGCGGUAAUACGUCGGUGGCAAGCGUUAUCCGGAUUUAUUGGGUGUAAAGGGCGUGUAGGCGGGAAUGCAAGUCAGAUGUGAAAACUAUGGGCUCAACCCAUAGCCUGCAUUUGAAACUGUAUUUCUUGAGUGCCGGAGAGGCAAUCGGAAUUCCGUGUGUAGCGGUGAAAUGCGUAGAUAUACGGAGGAACACCAGUGGCGAAGGCGGAUUGCUGGACAGUAACUGACGCUGAGGCGCGAAAGCGUGGGGAGCAAACAGGAUUAGAUACCCCAGUAGUC